rnacentral:lncRNA from 1 species
AUGCAAGGCCAGGCAGAGUCUAUCCUGAGCCCCCAGCUGCGACACAGAAAUACAGGCAGACACCCAUGUACGGCACCUCGUCUCAGCCAGAAGAAUUGUGGGAGCUUCGGUGGAAAUGAGGAAUGGAAAUGGAGCUUCCAGGGAUGUGUGGCUAUGGAGGAAGAAGAAGAAUUUAACUUCCUCUCCACUGCACUUGUGCUUUCUGCAUCUUCCAUCCUGCUUAUGAAAUCAGGCUGUUUUCAUAAUGUAAGUGAAGUAGGCCUCGUCUAUAUUACAUCAACAGCCACCAUAUUUCUUUGGGCAAUUGAAGUUUUGAAAAAAAAAUGACAAAUGACUGAUUACAGGGUCUGGAAACAGGGGUGAAAGUAACUUACAGGAUUUACUAGU